AGAGUUUGAUCUGGGUUCAGGACAACCCCUGGCGGCUUGCCUAUUCCUUGCAAUUAAAACCCUAAAGGGAAACUUGGUUCUUCUGAAUAACUUCCAACCGGUUAAUUACCCCUAAGGUAACCGGCCGGGUACCGGGGAAUACUUUUUGAAAACAAUACUUAUUACCCCUUACUAUUAAAUUUUGCUUGACUUUUCUUUAAAAGGUGCAUUUGCUUCCUUCCCAAAUGGACUUGCUUUGUUUUACUUAUUUGGGGGGGUACCGGUUCACCAAGGCAACAAUCCUUACCCAACUUGAAAGGUUGAUCGCCCCCCUUGGAAUUAAAACCCGGCCCAAAUUCUUCCGGAAGGCACCAUUAGGAAUUCUUCGGCAUUGAACGAAAUUCUAACCAACCACCCCCCCUUGAUUGAAAAAGGUUUUCGAAUCUUAAACUUCUGUUGUAAAAAAAAACCAAUUGUAAAAUUGAAAAUUUCCCCUUGUAACGUUUUCUUACCAAAAAGGAACGGUUACUUCCUUGCCACCACCCCCGUUAUUACUUAGGUCCCAACCUUUUUCCGGAUUUAUUGGCCUUAAAGCGAGCGCAGGCGGUUAGAUAAGUCUGAAGUUAAAGGUUGUGGCUUAACCAUAGUACGCUUUGGAAACUGUUUAACUUGAGUGCAAGAGGGGAGAGUGGAAUUCCAUGUGUAGCGGUGAAAUGCGUAGAUAUAUGGAGGAACACCGGUGGCGAAAGCGGCUCUCUGGCUUGUAACUGACGCUGAGGCUCGAAAGCGUGGGGAGCAAACAGGAUUAGAUACCCUGGUAGUCCACGCCGUAAACGAUGAGUGCUAGGUGUUAGACCCUUUCCGGGGUUUAGUGCCGCAGCUAACGCAUUAAGCACUCCGCCUGGGGAGUACGACCGCAAGGUUGAAACUCAAAGGAAUUGACGGGGGCCCGCACAAGCGGUGGAGCAUGUGGUUUAAUUCGAAGCAACGCGAAGAACCUUACCAGGUCUUGACAUCCCUCUGACCGCUCUAGAGAUAGAGUUUUCCUUCGGGACAGAGGUGACAGGUGGUGCAUGGUUGUCGUCAGCUCGUGUCGUGAGAUGUUGGGUUAAGUCCCGCAACGAGCGCAACCCCUAUUGUUAGUUGCCAUCAUUCAGUUGGGCACUCUAGCGAGACUGCCGGUAAUAAACCGGAGGAAGGUGGGGAUGACGUCAAAUCAUCAUGCCCCUUAUGACCUGGGCUACACACGUGCUACAAUGGCUGGUACAACGAGUCGCAAGCCGGUGACGGCAAGCUAAUCUCUUAAAGCCAGUCUCAGUUCGGAUUGUAGGCUGCAACUCGCCUACAUGAAGUCGGAAUCGCUAGUAAUCGCGGAUCAGCACGCCGCGGUGAAUACGUUCCCGGGCCUUGCACACACCGCCCGUCAA
rnacentral:rRNA from 1 species